UGCCGGAUCUUAGUUCCCUGACCAGGGAUUGAACCCAUUGCCCCCUGCAGUGGAAAAGCGGAAUCUUAACCACUGGACCGCCAGGGAAGUCCCAAGAUUUUCUAAGACUAAAGGAGAUCGCUGUUAUGGAUUAAAUGUUUGUGACCCACCCCCCCUGAAAACUCAUAUACUGAAGCCCUCACCACCCAGUGUGACUAGGAAAAGCCAUGUGAAGACACAGAGAGAAGGCAGCCGUCUACAAGCCAUGAGAGUCCUCACCGGGAAGCAAAUCAGCUGGCACCUUAACCUUGAACUUCCAGCCUCCAGAACUGUGAGAAAUCAAUGUCUGUUGUUGAAGACACCCAGUCUGCAGUACUUUGUUAUGGCAGCCCGAGUGGACAAAUAAGCCUCUCUGUUCCUCCCAAGCCGCGUCUGCCCGUGGCAGCUUGGUCUCAGACUUCUGCUAGUGCAUGACACAUAUGCAUAGGACAUGCUUUCCCCCCUCCCAACCCUGGCCCCUUUCUAAUAGCAGGUUUCCCCAGCAACCAACUUUCCAGGCAGUCCAUUCCCUUUCCUCUUUUUUUUUUUUCCCUUCAAUUUAUUUAUUUUAUUUAUUUAUUUUUGGCUGUGUUGGGUCUUCGUUGCUGUGCACGGGCUUUCUCUAGUUGCAGUGAGCAGGGACUACUCUUUGUUGCGGUGCGUGGGGUUCUCAUCGCGGUGGCU